UACGGAGGGUGCAAGCGUUAAUCGGAAUCACUGGGCGUAAAGCGCACGUAGGCGGCACGUUAAGUCAGCUGUGAAAGCCCUGGGCUCAACCUGGGAAUGGCAGUUGAUACUGACGCGCUCGAGUCUGAGAGAGGGGGGUGGAAUUCCAGGUGUAGCGGUGAAAUGCGUAGAUAUCUGGAGGAACACCGGUGGCGAAGGCGGCCCCCUGGCUCAUGACUGACGCUGAGGUGCGAAAGCGUGGGGAGCAAACAGG
rnacentral:rRNA from 1 species